AACGAACGCUGGCGGCAGGCCUAACACAUGCAAGUCGAACGCCCUAGCAAUAGGGAGUGGCAGACGGGUGAGUAACACGUGGGAACCUUCCCUAUAGUAUGGAAUAGCCCAGGGAAACUUGGAGUAAUACCGUAUACGCCCGAGAGGGGAAAGAUUUAUCGCUAUAGGAUGGGCCCGCGUAGGAUUAGCUAGUUGGUGAGGUAAUGGCUCACCAAGGCGACGAUCCUUAGCUGGUCUGAGAGGACGACCAGCCACACUGGGACUGAGACACGGCCCAGACUCCUACGGGAGGCAGCAGUGGGGAAUAUUGGACAAUGGGCGCAAGCCUGAUCCAGCCAUGCCGCGUGAGUGAUGAAGGCCUUAGGGUUGUAAAGCUCUUUUGCCGGGGACGAGUAAUGACGGUACCCGGAGAAUAAGUCCCGGCUAACUUCGUG
rnacentral:rRNA from 1 species